GUCGGGAAUACAACAUUGGCCCAACAUUGGGCCAACGUUGUAAUAUUGUGACUAAUUAAUUGCCGGAGUAUGUUGUCAACACAAUGCUGGCCCAACAUUGGGCCAAUGUCAACUUAUCACUUUCAUACUGGUACCGAGGUUAGUUGGGAAUACAACAUUGGCCCAACAUUGGGCCAACAUUGUAAGAUUGUGAUGAAAUUCGACUAAAAAAUAGAUUUUGAUAUCUAUAUUUAUGACACACGCACACACAAAUGCGCAUGACUCGCAUGUUUUGAAGAAGAGGAUGAUGAGUUAAUUAAAAUAAGCUACGUAUAUAUAGAAUGUAUAAUUGAUUUGAAAUAUUUAUAAUUUUUGUAAAAUAUAUGCAUACAUAAUUGAUUUCUUUUUUAGAAAACAUAUUAAAAAAUUAACAUACAUUCAAUUAUCAUUUGUGCAGGGAUGAAAAUUAACCUUGCAUAUCAAAAGAAUGAACUCAAAAGAGAAAGGUUUAACACAUGCAAAGAUUACAUAAAUGCUCUAAAGUGUUGGAUUUAGGAAGCAGAUUCUAAGAUAAGAGCACAUUUACUGACCAAGCAAUUAGGACAGAGUUUUUCACAGCUUGAGACUGGCCAGUUUCCAUGGUAAUCUUGAUAUCUGAUAUGUUGGGAUGGUCAAUCCUGUAUCUAUUUUACGCGUCCAGCAUUCUAGCUAAUCUCGGAGUUUUACUGAGGAAUAACGUGAAACAAGGCAACUGAAAAAGGAAAGCUCAUUCCGGGGAAUCGUUUUUAUUGUGAAUUCAGAUUAAAGUAAUACGUCCUGGCAUACGUAUACAGAAAUGAGCUGCUCGAGCAAACCGAUUAUGUGCAGACGCAACACACAAUGAGAUAAACAAUGUUAUCAAAGAGUGGUUCCGGUACGCAUGUGACCGUGAAGGAGGUCGAAAAGAAAGAGAGGAAAGAAAAAAAGAAAAAGAGAGAAACCAAAGCUCCCAGAAUGCAACAGAGGACAGUGAUUCAUAAUUGUGGAAGAAUUAAAGUGUAUGCACAUGUAUCAGACAAAGAGACAAAGUUAACUUGUUUACACUGGAAUGCAUUUAUUGUUUUAAUCAUAUUUUCAUUUGACCAGUUGUUAACACAAAUUAAAUUCAUUAGAUGUC